UGCUCCCUGAAUGCGCAUGCCGGCCGGGUGUAAAGUCAGCUUGGUGAAGGUCUCCCUGAGGCUGUUACAGGAGAGCAGCAGAUAAAAAGCAGCGACACUCCUCCUGCCUUUUCCAGUGCUUUGAAUUAUAAUGCCGGGUGGACGACUUUCACCGAGGAGGACGAAGGAGAUACCCACUGACAGAAGCGACUGAAAGGGGGGGAAAUUAGCCCAUGUAGCUUAAAAUACCAAAGAUAACGUUCCUUCUCGUGCGUUUGCCUUUUUUUUUCGCUGUUGAACUUUUGACUUUGUCAGCAUUUAUUUACUUUGUCAGCAUUUAUCGGUUACACUUCUCACGUUUUCAUAGCCAAGAGACUGGAAAAAAGACGUCAAAUUCCACUUUUAUCUGGAAGAAAAUCUCGAGCACCCCGCAGACAGUGUCCUUUUGAUCAGUGGGAUGUUUGACUCACGGGAGCAGGACUGACAGAAGGAGCAUGGUCAAACACCAACCCCUCCAAGUCUAUGAGCGCCAGCUGUGUUUGUCCUGUAUCACUGGGAUCUACGGUUGCCGAUGGAAACGCUAUCAGCGCUCCCACGAUGACACCACCAAGUGGGAGCUGCUGUGGUCCCUCGUCCUUCUCUUCACCUUCUGUGCGCUGCUGGCCUGGUUCUACUUCUGGUUGGAAGCUCGCAACGACUACAGUGAGUUCAACUGGUUCCUCUACAACCGCUCUGGCGAGUGGAGCGAUGGCACCGUUCCAAUCCUGGCCACGACCGCUGCUGGCUUCACCUACAUAGCCUUUUUAAUGAUUUUAGCACUUUGUCACAUUGCACUUGGCCAACAGCUGAAUUUGCAUUGGCUUCAUAAGAUUGGAGUCACCGCGGCUCUGCUGACAACCGUUGUCGGGGUGAUAUCCAUCAAUCAAACCUGGCAGCACGAGUGGGACAUCAUCCCCAUCUCCUUGCAGGCCACAGGGCCGUUCCUGCACGUCGGCGCCGUCGCCGCCUUCACAGCUCUGUCCUGGAUCGUGGCCGGACAGGUGGCCCGUGCCGAAAAAACGUCCUUCCAGGUGGUGGUCAUGCUGCUGUAUCUCGGCGCGUUGCUGGGCAUUUACGUGGUGCCGCUCUACAUCACCUCUCCUUGCAUUAUGGACCCCAGUAACCUCAAGCCUCGCCCCGAUGUUAUUGGCCACCAGGGGGCCCCCAUGCUGGCUCCAGAGAACACGAUGUGGUCCUUUCAGCGAGCGCUGCAAAUGAAUGUCACUGGGCUGGAGGCGGACAUAGCUAUCAGUGUCGACGGUGUUCCGUUCCUGAUGCACGACCCUACCCUGCGCAGGACCACCGACGUAGAGAAGGUCUUCCCCGACAGGCAGAUGGAAGAUGCUUCGCUCUUCAACUGGACCGAUCUGCAGCAGCUCAACGCGGGACAGUGGUUCCUCAAGGAUGACCCCUUCUGGACGGUGCCGGCCCUGUCCCCCCACGAGAGGAACCUGAUUAGCAACCAGAGCGUGUGCAGCCUGGAGCAGCUUCUCAAGCUGGCCUCCUACCAUAACGCCAGUGUGGUGUUCAGACUCAGGAGACCCCCUGCGGGACAUCCCUGUUACGACAGCUGGAUCAAUGACACGCUGCAGGCCAUGCAGCAAUCCAGGGUUCCUCAAAGUCUGGUGAUGUGGACUCCUGAUGAAGACAGGGCUCAGGUGAGACAGCUUGCACCCGGUCUGGUCCAGACGUCAGUAGAGAAACAAAGUCCUCAAAGCCUCCAAGAGGCGGGCAUCAGCAGGCUGCUGCUCAGAUACAACCAGGCUAGCGCUCAGGAAAUCGGGGACUUUUCUCAGAGAAACAUCAGCCUCACCCUCUACACUGUCAACGAGCCCUGGCUUUACUCUGUGCUCUGGUGCAGCGGUGUGUCGUCUGUGUCGUCGGAGGCUCCCCACGUCCUCAAGAAGGUGCCUUACCCCACCUGGCUAUUGACAGCAGACGAAUACUGCUUGAUGUGGGUGUGCGCAGACCUCAUCUCUUUUGUUGUGGUUGUAGGAAUAUUCAUAUUACAGAACUAUCACAUGAUCAGGUAUCGAACCAGCGGCAUGCGCAGCUACAACCCUGAGCAGAUCAUGCUGAGCGCCGCCGUCGGAAGGUCCAGCCGAGACCUCAACGUCAUGAAGGAGAAGCUCAUCUUCUCUGGUCAAUCCCGGUAGCCCCACCCCCGACCCUCACUGCCAUCUCUCCGUGUGUGUGUGUCCGUCAUCUGCAUCAUCGGCUGCCUCUUCCCUUGUUCAUUCCAUGCUUCCACUUUGCUCCUUCAUCCAUCCAUCACUCCCUCCGUGCCACCCACACCCUCCCCUCCCCACAGCGUCAUGCUUAGUGAUGCUUAUAAGGGGACCCCAGUCUGCCUUGCACUGGGCGGGGUCAAAGAGGUGGGCAAUGGAAGUGUCAGCGGCGAUGAGCCGGACGCAGACAACAGUAACGAGUAUGACUACUACACUAACCAACGUGUGAGCCAAUGAUGGCCACUCAGCCGCAAGAUGAGGAAACAAGCGUGUACAGUUUGUAAAUACCGUCAUUGCUUCCUGGACAUACUAUAUUUCAUACUGUAUUUCACUUUGGACUCAGCACUUUUUAUUGUAUCCGUGGCUAUUUGGCGGAUAUUUGAUUGAUUGAUUUAGGAAUGUCCAGAGUAUUCGUUUUAAGCUAAUUUUCCAAAGCAGCUCUUUUCCAUUUUAAGCACUGAUGCCUUUUUAUUUAUAUCUGAAAUAUGCUCACAUCGGUUGCCACGGUAGUCACAUUUCAAAUGCUGUGUUAAAGAAGUCCUGCUGGCGCAUGGAACAGUUAUGAUCAUAUGAAAUGUGUGAGCUGUACAGUCAGGAAAGUGUGGUGUUGUUGUAAUUCAAAUCAUUCAAAUAUGUAUCCUCAUUGGGUGUGUACUUUUAUAGCCUGUGUGUAGUAUUGCACAUGUUGUCACUUGCUACUAUUUCUCUGUAGUUAAAGUCUGCUGGGGUUUAUUUUAUUGUUUACAAACAAAGUGUCUUCGUGUUGGUUGCUGCUGUCAAAUGAAUAAAAGUGUAAGAUAACUAAAAGGGACACUCAGCACUUGUUUUUUUUUUGUCUGUGCUUCUUAAGUAACUUAAACAAGUUCUACUCCAUACAUUUGAGUCGUCAAAAGUAGUUAGAUACAAUCUGUAGCCACCUACCUAAGUACUACACCAUGUGGGUAUACUAACAAAUAUCUAUGUGCAAAAAAAUACCCAUGUCAAACUAUCAAUAUUGUCCCACCGCAAGGCAUGCUGGGUAGCUUGUGGUACUUCAUUUUUACUCGAUUGCAAAGUAUGCUGAGAUUGUCAGAGAAGUAAACAGGAGAGAUUAACAUACUCUUGAUAUGCAGUGAUUUUUAUUGGUCACAGUUCAUAUUGUUGCAGCCGGACUACCCAGCAUGCUUUGUGGGCAUUUGGAAAUUAGUUUUAUAAGGUC